rnacentral:misc_RNA from 1 species
CCAAUAUUAUUCAUAGUUUCUAAGUUGAAAUCUCUUAUUGUGUUACAACCAAGUGACAGUACUUCCAACUUUUCCCGCAAGGCGUGAUGGCAUUAAAAUCACAUCUGCCGAAUUUUCCAUGGAUUUUCCUACAUCGGAAAGCCUAUUUUUUUCGUGACCGGUCGCUUGAGUUUAAUCUUUGACUUCCUUCUUAUUAUUACUCCACGUGUCAACAUCCAUACUACGGGCUUACCAGGUCUCGUCUGAUCAUUACUCCACGUUGAGAGUUAUCUUAACCCAGGUUUCACUAAACUAUAAUUAAAAUCAAUAUUGGUAGAAACGGCCCAGAAGAGACGAAGGGAGAUUGACUAAUAGGAGUUAUUGUAAAAGAUAAAUGGAAAACGCGCAGCCUCUUUCCUCUCUCUCAAAGAUGACAAAACAACGCAAAAACGUGGGAGUAACAGCGAAAAUUAUGGAACCGCUGCUGACGGUGCCGGAGCCGAGAGUUUCUCAACGCA